UGCGAUAUAAGGUACAUUAGACCGGUAGAUGCAGGGGCCCCCAAAUGACUGUUCGCCUGGAGCCCCCAAAGGGCUAAGUUCGCCACUGCCUAUCUGGCGUUGUUUUAGUAAGACUUCAUCUCGCUCAUAAAGUUCGUCUCCUUUUUCGUGUUUUCUAAGACGAUUUAAUGUUUUAGCAAACUCUUGGUUUUUUUGUCGCCUCAAUGUAAGCGAAAUGAUGCGAAACGGGUCAGGGUUUUUGCCAUUGACUUUGUCAAGGCAGCAUGUGCGUAUUUUGUCAAAUAUUAGAGUCUGUUGAUCAUUUAAUGUGAGCAUUAUGGAUAGACCUUCAGCUCUUUGUAUUGUUUGUGUGGGAAAUUCUUUAGACAGUGUUGUGUUUGUGUCCGACUGCAAGUCUGGUAUGGUUUCUCUUUCAUUUGGAUUUGUGUCGUUGUUAUUUGUCAUCUCCUCCUGACAUUCUAAUCGCUCCAACUCUGAUUCAGGACCAGUGUUGUUUUCGUCAGGCAAGACGAAAACGAAAAUGACGUCGUCAGACCCCUUUUUUCCAUGACGAAAAUGAGACUAAGACGAACGUCACCAAAGCCAUAUAAAGACUAAAAUGUGACGAAAAAUGUAGACAUUUUCGUCAGACGAGAACUAGACGAGACUAAAUUGUUAGUGAGUGGACGAACAAAGUUUCAAAACAUGCUUUUUUCCCGCCAACUAUAAUAUGCGCGCAAUGUCAAUCAAGAGCUCAGACGUCACGAGGCACACACACACACACACCAUGGCAGCAGCAGCAGUGGUGCCGGGUGCGGGUGGUCGUAAGAAGAGGGAUGAUUUAUGGUCCCACUUCAGAUACAGCCCACAGGCCAAUGCCACAGAAUGCCUUGUACGGGCAGUACGGGGACAGGGAGCCGAGUCGAACGACGGUCACGGAGACGAAGCCACGACCGUCACCACAACUUCAUGCUGCGGCUUCAAACUCGCAGGAAAAAAUACCACAAACCUCAAAAGGCACCUGAAGGCCAGCCAUCCUGCUAUUUUUGCGAAGAUCCCAGCGAGCAUAACCCCAAAGAAGAAACCAAGUGGAGUGCAGCAGCAGACCUCCUUAGAAAAGUCAUUUGCAGCGGCAACGAAAUAUGACGAGAACGAUCGGGAACAACUGAGAAAAGAAAUGGCAAUUGCUUUAUGGAUCGGUCGGACAGGGCUUCCUGCUUCCAUUGUGGAGGACGAAGAAUUCAUCCUCAUGAUUGAGAAGUUUGACAAGAGACUGACCAUCCCAAAAAGAACUAAAGUGAACAAUUUAAUUGAUAAAGUAUACCUUGAUGCCAAACUAAAAUUCAGAGAGCAGCUUGCCACAGCACAAAGGAUCACCAUUGGCCUGGACAUAUGGUCCAAGAAAGGCCUCACAGCCUCAUUUCUUGCCAUCAGUGCCUGCUACUAUUGCCCAGACGACAAAAAAGCAUGUCACAUAUUAUUAUCUCUGAUCCAGCUUACUCAUCCACACACGGCAGAGAGCAUAAAAACCUGUGUUGACCGGUGCACAGAAGACUGGGGUGUACCGCAAAACAAAAUACUGACAGCCAUAACGGACAACGGGAGCAACAUGGUAGCUGCAUUCAAACCUGUAGAGGAGGAGGAGAGUGAGAGCAGCAUGGAGGACGACUCCCUGGAGAGCGACAGUGAAGACCCUGUGCUGGCUACAGACGAACAGAGGUAAAUUAUUUCAGUUUAGCACUCAGUCACAUUAGAUGUUUGUGUUUUUGUUUUAAGUGUUAAUUGUUUCUUUUGUUGUGUUCUUGUAUUUUUCUAUAAAGGUAUGGAGCGAUGGUGAGGACCCCCUGCGUCGUCCACACGCUACAGCUGGUGGUUGGCAUGAUAAAAAAAGAAACAAGUGUUAACAAACUUCUAGAUAAGGUCCGUUCACUGGUGAAGCUCUUCCGAAAAUCUUCCGUAGCAACUGAGAGGCUAUUGAAGGAGUGCAAAUUAACUCUGGUGAAGGACUGCCCCACUAGGUGGUCGAGCACCUACAUUAUGAUCAACCGGCUUCUUCAAGUAAAGGACUCGGUUGUGAAAGUUGCGGAUGGCAUGACGUGGGACUAUCUCCUACCAAGUGAAUGGCAAAAGCUGACCGCUGUGAAAGAAUUGCUCUCCCCCUUUGCUGAGCAUACACAGAUGCUGCAAAGCGACACACAGAGUCUGUCCCUUGUCAUUCCUGCCCUUCUUGACCUACAAGCUCACCUGUCUGACAUACUUGAUGAGCAGGGUCAUACUUUCAAGGACCUAGGGUCCUUGGCAGUAAAGAUGAGGGCCAACAUAGAGCUGCGAUUCGGCUGCUUUCUUGACAGCACGCACUCAAUUCUCACCCCUUGCUGCUGCUGCUUGCUUCCUCGAUCCAACAGAAUCACUCCUCACGAAUGAUGAUUUACAAAUUCAGGACAUUCUGAGAAAAGCGCAAGAGUACAUUGUUCAGUUGGUUCCACCAGUAGUUCGUGAGGAGGAGGCUGAGGAAUCGGAGAAGGGAGAAGGAGCAGCAGCCGAACCACUGAAAAAACGGUCAAGAUUUAAAUAUUUUUCCAAAACACACCGACCAUCCAAGUCUAGCCGGCCAAAACCGUGCGUCAGGCAUGAAAUGGAGAAGUAUAAGCAGGAACUGUCCCACUUAACUGAAGAAGAGUGCUCAAGUGCCCUUGAGUUUUGGAUUGCACAGCCGGAUCAUGCAUAUCCUCUCCUGAAACCCAUUGCCUUAGAUAUUAUAGCCAUGCCUGCCUCUCAAGCAUUUGCCGAGAGAGUGUUCAGUGUUACAGGUGACCUCAGUCGUGGUCGUCGCAACAGAGCCAGAGUCAUUUUAGAGAGAAGUGCUUUCCUCAAAUUGAACCGGUAGGCUACUGAGGCUACCUAGGCCCAGUUUAUACUGGCAGCUUAAAUCUGGCCUGAAUCAGAUCUGUGUCAGAUCUACAAGCUCCAAUGUUGUGAUGUGACCCAUGUGGAGCUUGUAUGUCUGAUCUGAUCUGCCGCAGAUCUGAUUCGGGCCAGAUUCAGGCCGCCAGUGUGAACCUAGUAGUGGCAAGUUACUUGACUUAGUUGACUUGUAUCAUUGAUUGUACAGAUUGUAUUGCGCUUCCAUGUUGAUUCUGUUUGGUUGCCUUAAAUAUUUGUAUUUGCAGAGCUGGUUGCCUUAAAAUUUCUGUUUUUAUGUAUGCAGAUCUUUGUUUUGUUUGAUCUUUACAUAUUUGGAAAUCCAUUCAUGGCCAUGUUGGGAUUUUAAUGUCUCUAUAACUUGACUUGUGGUUGUGAAACUUGUUUGUUAAGAGUAAGAUUACUGUUCCCCAACCCCUCAUAUUUUAGUAGAAUUGCACUAGGAGCCACAUUGUGUUACCCUCCUACUUCAAGUUCAUGUGAAGUCAAGUGAGCUUUAUUUUUGUUUAAUCAUAUUUUAUUGUGAUACAAUACUCAUUGUGUGCCAUUGUGUUGUCUGCAACAAAAUAAUAAAAGAAAAGGUAGAGAGAAAAAAGUCGAGAAAAAAAACAAAAACUCACCUUUUGAAAGUUAGAUCAGUCUCAGUGUGCUUCAUUAUGAUAAAUGUAUUGGCCUAUUAAAUAAAUACACGCAUCUUAUCUAUGUUUGAUUUUUGACUAAAACCUUUUGAGUAUUCGUCGGACUAAAACUAGACUAAAACCUUUGGAGUUUUCGUCGGACAAAAACUAGACUAAAACCUUUUGAGUUUUCGUCAGACUAAAACUAGACUAAAACUUUCAAAGAUAGAAAUGACUAAAAUGGGACUAAAACUAAGAAGCAUUUCGUCAAAAGACUAAGACUAAAACUAAAUCUAAAAUGCCUGCCAAAA
rnacentral:lncRNA from 1 species